rnacentral:lncRNA from 1 species
UGAAAUGUUUGUUUUCUCCUUUUUGAGAGUUGCCUGUUUUCUACUAAAUUUCAGAACAUGUAUCUUUCUGCCAGUAAUGUGAUUACGCAGGGCUUUCUCUGCAUUGUAUCAUUGAAACUGGUAGUAGUAGAAUUAGAAUAGCAAGAAACUGAAAAAUGCUAUGGAGAGUCGUACUUAUGUACACAACAUAGAAGGUUUGCAAAUCAAAUGAUUUAUGGAAGUUUGUUUGGCUCAUGUCCUUAAUAUUAGGAAUAUGUAGGCUGGCCUUACAAAUAUGAUUUAAUUCCAUUUUUAUCAUAACAAAACUCUCUUUAUAGUUUUUACAGAGAGGGUAAAAAUAAGACAAUAAAUUUUUCAAAUAAGUGAUAAUUUUAUUACUUUCUUAUUUCUACAAACAUUUAACAAAUGAAUUUACUUGGAGAAGUUAAAAAUAUAUCAUUGAGGCAAAAAAAUAUAAAUUACAAUUAUUUAUUCAAAUAAAAUAUAUUUUGAAUAGAAUAAUUAUUAGUUAGGUUGUACUCACCUUUCUGUCGAAAUUUGGAUUAACAGGAUCCAUUUCUCUGCGAAUCAAAGGUUAACAAUAAAUAUAUAUANNNNNNNNNNNNNNNNNNNNNNNNNUAUAUAUAUAUAUAUAUAUAUAUAUAUAUAUAUAUAUAUAUAUAUAUAUAUAUAUAUAUAUAUAUAUAUCUAUGUAUGUAUGUAUGUUGGGGUAGUCUAAGAUACCUUAUUAUUCUUCAUAUUUAUUAUGCCUGCCCCUGCAAGGUAUCCUCUCCCCUUCUAAAAAGGGAGACAGUGUGGUAGUUUAGAGACAAAUUUGAUAGAUCGUGGAUA